CCUACGGGAGGCAGCAGUGGGGAAUAUUGCGCAAUGGGCGAAAGCCUGACGCAGCGACGCCGCGUGAGGGAUGAAGGUCUUCGGAACGUAAACCUCUGUCAGCAGGGAAGAACGGUCACUGUGCUAAUCAGCAGUGAAUUGACGGUAACUGCACAGGAAGCACCGGCUAACUCCGUGCCAGCAGCCGCGGGAAUACGGAGGGGGCGAGCGUUAACCGGAAUGACUGGGCGUAAAGCGCUCGUAGGCGGUAUGUCAAGUCAAGGGUGAAAUCCCCGGGCUUAACGUGGGAACUGCUUUUGAAACUGGCCAGCUGGAGUGUGUGAGAGGAUAGUGGAAUUCCUGGUGUAGGGGUGAAAUCCGUAGAUAUCUGGAGGAACAUCAGUGGCGAAGGCGACUAACUGGCACAUAACUGACGCUGAGGAGCGAAAGCGUGGGUAGCAAACAGGAUUAGAUACCCCAGUAGUC
rnacentral:rRNA from 1 species